rnacentral:rRNA from 1 species
GUCUGCAGCCAUACCACCACCCUGAACGCGCCCGAUCUCGUCUGAUCUCGGAAGCUAAGCAGGGUCGGGCCUGGUUAGUACUUGGAUGGGAGACCGCCUGGAAUACCGGGUGCUGUAGGCU